CGAGGAAAAGAAAUCAACCGAGAUUCCCCCAGUAGCGGCGAGCGAACGGGGAGCAGCCCAGAGUCUGAAUCAGCUUGUGUGUUAGUGGAACGGUCUGGAAAGUCCGACGGUACAGGGUGAUAGUCCCGUACACCAAAAUGCACAGGCUGUGAACUCGAAGAGUAGGGCGGGACACGUGGUAUCCUGUCUGAAUAUGGGGGGACCAUCCUCCAAGGCUAAAUACUCCUGACUGACCGAUAGUGAACCAGUACCGUGAGGGAAAGGCGAAAAGAACCCCGGCGAGGGGAGUGAAAAAGAACCUGAAACCGUGUACGUACAAGCAGUGGGAGCACCUUCGGGUGUGACUGCGUACCUUUUGUAUAAUGGGUCAGCGACUUAUAUUCUGUAGCAAGGUUAACCGUAUAGGGGAGCCGCAGGGAAACCGAGUCUUAACUGGGCGUUAAGUUGCAGGGUAUAGACCCGAAACCCGGUGAUCUAGCCAUGGGCAGGUUGAAGGUUGGGUAACACUAACUGGAGGACCGAACCGACUAAUGUUGAAAAAUUAGCGGAUGACUUGUGGCUGGGGGUGAAAGGCCAAUCAAACCGGGAGAUAGCUGGUUCUCCCCGAAAGCU
rnacentral:rRNA from 1 species